rnacentral:rRNA from 1 species
UACAGGGGGGCAAGCGUUGUCCGGAUUUAUUGGGCGUAAAGAGCGUGUAGGCGGCCAGACAGGUCCGUUGUGAAAACUCGAGGCUCAACCUCGAGACGUCGAUGGAAACCGUCUGGCUAGAGUCCGGAAGAGGAGAGUGGAAUUCCUGGUGUAGCGGUGAAAUGCGCAGAUAUCAGGAAGAACACCUAUGGCGAAGGCGGCGCUCUGGGCCGGAACUGACGCUGAGGAGCGAAAGCGUGGGGAGCGAACAGG